CCUACGGGUGGCAGCAGUGGGGAAUAUUGCACAAUGGUGGAAACCCUGAUGCAGCGACGCCGCGUGAGUGAAGAAGUAUCUCGGUACGUAAAGCUCUAUCAGCAGGGAAGAAAAUUACGGUACCUAACUAAGAAGCCACGUCGAACUACGUGCCGGCAGGCGCGGUAAUACGGAGGGGGCAAGGGUUAUCCGGAUUUACUGGGCGUAAAGGGAGCGUAGACGGGAGCACAAGUCUGGAGUGAAAUCCCGGGGCUUAACCCCGGAACUGCAUUGGAAACUGUGAGGCUGGAGUGCAGGAGGGGUAAGCGGAAUUCCUAGUGUAGCGGUGAAAUGCGUAGAUAUUAGGAGGAACACCGGUGGCGAAGGCGGCUUACUGGACUGUAACUGACGUUGAGGCUCGAAAGCGUGGGGAGCAAACAGGAUUAGAUACCCUUGUAGUC
rnacentral:rRNA from 1 species